UCUCCUACGGGAGGCAGCAGUCGGGAAUAUUGCGCAAUGGAGGAAACUCUGACGCAGUGACGCCGCGUAUAGGAAGAAGGUCUUCGGAUUGUAAACUAUUGUCGUUAGGGAAGAUAAAAGACUGUACCUAAGGAGGAAGCCCCGGCUAACUAUGUGCCAGCAGCCGCGGUAAUACAUAGGGGGCACGCGUUAUCCGGAAUUAUUGGGUGUAAAGGGUGCGUAGACGGAAGAACAAGUUGGUUGAGAAAUCUCUCGGCUCAACUGAGGAACUGCAACCAAAACUAUUCUCCUUGUGU
rnacentral:rRNA from 1 species